rnacentral:rRNA from 1 species
GACGUAGGGUGCAAGCGUUGUCCGGAUUUAUUGGGCGUAAAGAGCUCGUAGGCGGCUCGUCGCGUCGACUGUGAAAACUCGGGGCUUAACCCUGGGCUUGCAGUCGAUACGGGCGGGCUAGAGUUCGGUAGGGGAGACUGGAAUUCCUGGUGUAGCGGUGAAAUGCGCAGAUAUCAGGAGGAACACCGGUGGCGAAGGCGGUUCUCUGGGCAUUACCUGACGCUGAGGAGCGAAAGCAUGGGGAGUGAACAGG